AUUGAACGCUGGCGGCAGGCUUAACACAUGCAAGUCGGACGGUAACAGGGAGGAAGCUUGCUUUCUUUGCUGACGAGUGGCGGACGGGUGAGUAAUGCUUGGGAAUCUGUUUAUGGAGGGGGAUAACUACGGGAAACUGUAGCUAAUACCGCGUAAUAUCGAGAGAUUAAAGUGUGGGACCGUAAGGCCACAUGCCAUAGAGUGAGCCCAAGUGGGAUUAGGUAGUUGGUGGGGUAAAGGCUUACCAAGCCGUCGAUCUCUAGCUGGUCUGAGAGGAUGACCAGCCACACUGGGACUGAGACACGGCCCAGACUCCUACGGGAGGCAGCUGUGGGGAAUAUUGCACAAUGGGCGCAAGCCUGAUGCAGCCAUGCCGCGUGAAUGAAGAAGGCCUUCGGGUUGUAAAGUUCUUUCGGUGGUGAGGAAGGUUGUAAUGUUAAUAGCAUUAUAAUUUGACGUUAGCCACAGAAGAAGCACCGGCUAACUCCGUGCCAGCAGCCGCGGUAAUACGGAGGGUGCGAGCGUUAAUCGGAAUAACUGGGCGUAAAGGGCACGCAGGCGGAUACUUAAGUGAGGUGUGAAAGCCCUGGGCUUAACCUAGGAAUUGCAUUUCAUACUGGGUAUCUAGAGUAUUUUAGGGAGGGGUAGAAUUCCACGUGUAGCGGUGAAAUGCGUAGAGAUGUGGAGGAAUACCGAAGGCGAAGGCAGCCCCUUGGGGGAAUACUGACGCUCAUGUGCGAAAGCGUGGGGAGCAAACAGG
rnacentral:rRNA from 1 species